AGGGGGCAAGCGUUAUCCGGAGUUACUGGGUGUAAAGGGAGCGUAGACGGAAGUGCAAGUCUGAAGUGAAAGCCCGGGGCUCAACCCCGUGACUGCUUUGGAAACUGUGCUUCUAGAGUGUCGGAGAGGUAAGCGGAAUUCCUAGUGUAGCGGUGAAAUGCGUAGAAAUUAGGAGGAACAUCAGUGGCGAAGGCGGCUUACUGGACGAUAACUGACGUUGAGGCUCGAAAGCGUGGGGAGCAAA
rnacentral:rRNA from 1 species